UUGGAGGGCAAGUCUGGUGCCAGCAGCCGCGGUAAUUCCAGCUCCAAUAGCGUAUAUUAAAGUUGUUGCAGUUAAAAAGCUCGUAGUUGAAUUUCGGGAUCAAUAUGUUGGUCGUGCCUUUGGUACGUACUGGUAUUAUUGGUUUCUCCUUUCUGAUGAAUCAUGAUGUCAUUAAUUUGGUGUCAUGGGGAAUCAGGACUGUUACUUUGAAAAAAUUAGAGUGUUUAAAGCAGGCUUACGCUUGAAUACAUUAGCAUGGAAUAAUGAAAUAGGACGUUUAAUUCUAUUUUGUUGGUUUCUAGGAUUGACGUAAUGAUUAAUAGGGAUAGUUGGGGGCAUUAGUAUUCAAUUGUCAGAGGUGAAAUUCUUGGAUUUAUUGAAGACUAACUACUGCGAAAGCAUUUGCCAAGGAUGUUUUCAUUAAUCAAGAACGAAAGUUAGGGGAUCGAAGACGAUCAGAUACCGUCGUAGUCUUAACUAUAAACUAUGCCGACUAGGGAUCGGAUGAUGUUAAUUUAUGACUCAUUCGGCGCCUUACGGGAAAC
rnacentral:rRNA from 1 species